UAGUCAUCAUCAGGAAAUGAAUGAUGAUGAUAUUUCAUAUGUUAUAUAUUCACUAUAUAUACUUGUACAUAUGUAAUAUCAUCAUCAUUCAUUUCCUGAUGA